CCCCUCCUCUUCCCUUCCACGCACCGACCAGUCGCCGUAGGUAGCACGCUCCCCCCUCCUCCCCACAAAGUCCACCGCCCUCCAUGCCGAGCAACCGAAUCGGGAUCGAUCGUCUCCUCCCCUCCCCGUCGCCGCCGCCUCGGGCUCGCUUGGUGCAGAUCGGGACCCUCCGCCCGCCCCGACGGGCCGGAUCCCGCCUUGCACCAAGUGAAUCGGAGCCGGCGCAGCGACCUCGCCCCCGCCGCCGCUUUUGCUGCCUCUCCGCGCCCCGAAUUGGUUGAUGCUCUGCCGCCGUCGGUCUCGACUGGUUCGAUCGGUCCGAGGCUGCUACUCGCUGCGGAUUUUUAUGUGCGAUUCCGUAUGUUCGCUCGUGCCCGUGGCGCUCUGAUAUUUGCCCUGUUUAAGAAAUUCGCUAGAUCUAGAUCCGGCGCCUAGCUUUAAUUGUUGCCUGCUUGAUCUGACGGAUUUUUUGUUGCCAAGCAAGAUCUAAUCCUUCUUUUUUUGGUCAGGAUUCUUGCCAGGCUAUGGUGCAAAUUGCGCCCCCAAAUUGUGUUGCAGGGGAGGCCGUGGGACGCUACGAGAUGGUUCGAAUUAGCUAGUCGUGACGCGAAUUUCGAUUUGGAUCGUGUGGCAGGUCUUGUGUAUGGUACUAGUAGAUUCAGUAUUUGGCCUGAUUGAACUGUGGAGAACAUUUAUUGAUGUAGAUAGAUGCUGGUAGUAUAUCGUUUUACUACUUGUAGUAGGGGCGUAUCUCUGGCUAGCACCUCUGUACUCUGCAGGAUGCUGGGAAUUGCGGUGGACUUGUUUCGGGAGGAGACACAGGCUGCAUGUGUCUCCAUAUGCUUUAUUUAGCACGUUUGCUGUACUCUGCUGUGAAUUGUCUUCAGGGCGGAUGCUAACUCCAGGGAAUUGAAACCUGCAACGUGUUGCCUUGUUCUGUUCCAUCUCGAGAAUUUCAGCCUUUCGAUUCAUGACCUGUGGUUUGAGCUUUGAUUUGUCAAAAGCUUAAACCUUAUUCAGCAAUUAUGAAGUGGAUAGGCACAAGCAGGGGCGGAGCUCUGUAGGGGCUAAACCGGGCCAUGGCCCGCCCAGGAUUUUGACCCAAAUUUUUUUAUAUAGGCAUCUCCCAAGCCCACUAGCCCAGCCCACUUGCAUCCUCUCGCUUUCACGCACAGAGCAGCCUUGCUCAAAAAAAAAACGCACAGAGCAGCCGGAGAGAGGCAGGCAGCGCUAGGAAUCCCUACUCCCUAAUUCCCAAACUGUCCCACAGUCGAGCAGGGAGCACAGGAGCAAGCCGCUGCCGUCGGCGAACCGACAGCGUCUAUCCUCUCUCGCCGGAAUCCCUGUAUCUCACAGCCACGGUUCAGCCCCUUGCUUUCCUCCCUUCCCCCGACUCUCUGCACCUGCUCACAGAUGACAUCUGCUUGGGCUCGGCCACGCCGUCGUGCUACUGGCCUGCGGCCUGCCGAACCACUUCUGGCGGCUGGCGCAUGAGCAGAUCACUGGAUGAGCUCUCCUAGUCUCCAGUCUCCUACUGUCCUCCAAGAAUAGAGCAACUGUCAGAAGCAAGAGGUAAUCAUGGGCAAGGAAAAUCAAUCUCAGAGAAGAAUUGAUUUGGUUUUUAAAAGGAAAAGAGAUGACAUAACUCGAGUUCAGGAAAACCAGAUAUUGCCGUUGCUUGAAUUGGAACAACAUAACCAAAACCAGUACGAAUAGGUUCGAGCAAAUGAAGCUGUUACAUUCGAAGGUAUUGAGUUCUUGCAGCGUGCAGCGAGACCCUGGAAGAUGAGAAUCUUGCCAAUAAUCUGUUAGUUCACAUAGAGGGUGGAAUUCUAGAGAACUACAGCCACGAAGAUGUCAUUGCAGAUUUUAGAAGCAAGGGUGACCGGAGAGUCGAUUUGUAGUAUGUGAGUAAGUCACAUGUCUAAUGUCUCAAAGCUUUUGUAUUAGCUAACUUAAUAGUGGUUCAGGGUUAAAAUGUAUUUUGUUGUAUAUAUACAUACUGCUUGCUCCAUCCGGUAAUCAUACUGAUGCUUAUGAUUCAGAAUUUCAAAAAAAAUUGUGCUCUUGUUUAGUCUGGCCCACCCAGCAUUUUCUUUCAAGCUCCGCCACUGGGCACAAGUAUCAAAGUUUACAUAGGGGUAGUGGUGUAGGGGGCUAUUUUUUGAAUGGUUUUUUUUUAACUACUACAUAGGGGGUGUAGCGUGCUAAUCUCGAUCCCAUCUGUGAAUCUUGAUAGAUGUAAGGUUUCCAAUUUUAUUUUAUUUUGAAAGUGUGCCAAAUUUGUACUUGUUUCCGUUGCUUCCUGGAUGUUUCACUAGUUCUGCUGUACCAUGUGCUCAUUGGUUGUAUCAGAAUGAAGCAAUAGCAAAAGAGAAAAGUGCAUUUCUAACA